rnacentral:rRNA from 1 species
UACGUAGGUGGCAAGCGUUACUCGGAAUCACUAGGCGUAAAGCGCAGGUAGGCGGUUUGGUAAGUCUUUUGUGAAAGCUCCCGGCUCAACUGGGAGAGGUCUAAGGAAACUACUAGGCUAGAGUGUGGUAGGGGAUACUGGAAUUCCUGGUGUAGCGGUGAAAUGCGUAGAUAUCAGGAGGAAUACCUAUGGCGAAAGCAGGUAUCUGGGCCAUCACUGACGCUGAGCUGCGAAAGCUAGGGGAGCAAACAGG